rnacentral:rRNA from 1 species
GGGGACCUUCGGGCCUCUUGCCAUCGGAUGUGCCCAGAUGGGAUUAGCUAGUAGGUGGGGUAACGGCUCACCUAGGCGACGAUCCCUAGCUGGUCUGAGAGGAUGACCAGCCACACUGGAACUGAGACACGGUCCAGACUCCUACGGGAGGCAGCAGUGGGGAAUAUUGCACAAUGGGCGCAAGCCUGAUGCAGCCAUGCCGCGUGUAUGAAGAAGGCCUUCGGGUUGUAAAGUACUUUCAGCGAGGAGGAAGGUGUUGUGGUUAAUAACCGCAGCAAUUGACGUUACUCGCAGAAGAAGCACCGGCUAACUCCGUGCCAGCAGCCGCGGUAAUACGGAGGGUGCAAGCGUUAAUCGGAAUUACUGGGCGUAAAGCGCACGCAGGCGGUCUGUCAAGUCGGAUGUGAAAUCCCCGGGCUCAACCUGGGAACUGCAUCCGAAACUGGCAGGCUAGAGUCUUGUAGAGGGGGGUAGAAUUCCAGGUGUAGCGGUGAAAUGCGUAGAGAUCUGGAGGAAUACCGGUG